AACAAGAUGGCAAAUUAGAGGUGAUCACAGCGGUCAUAUUACACAGUUGUUUUGUGAGCAGUAGGGGAGGAAUGUGACGCAGAGUGAGGAAGGUUCGUGAACGAGAGGGACUGGAGGCUUUGAUCAGAUGGAGGGGGAUGGUUUCCAGGAAGCAGAUAGAAGACAAAAAAAUGUGUCAAAUGUUGUGACUUGUAACUUUUAUUCUGUGGGCAUAAGGCCAGAGCAGUGAGUGAGUCCCGAACUGCAACAAAGUCAUAACAUCACACACUUUCUGUAGUAGAAAGUCAUAUUUUAUUACAAUCUUGUUUCCACUAAAAAGAAAACAAUCUGUUAGUUAUGACAAUGCAAAUCAAUGUGGCAGGUCCUGUCUUAUCCUUCAAACAAUAUUGUUUAUAUAUUUCACAAUAUCACGUUUAAAGAAAUGUCAGUAAACAAAUAAAG